rnacentral:rRNA from 1 species
AUGGCGACUGACGCCGACCUCGACAUGGCCGCCCCCGCCUCUCUCGACGCCCCCGCCUCUUCCGCCGCCCGCUUCCACCCCAAGGUAAGGGGCAAGGCGAAGGCGAAGCUGAAGCCGAAGACGAAGCCCAAGCCCAAGUCCGGACAAGAGGGUGGCGUGGAUGCGAUGGAGACGGACAGGGUGAGUGCCGGCGAGAGCGCGGAUCUUGAGGACGAGGACUUCGUGGUGCGGGAGAUGGACGUGUAUUUCACGCCCAAGCCCUUCGACAAGGACACCAAGCUCUACAUCGCGCAGUACCCGCUGAGGCCAUGCUGGCGCCCUUACGAGCUCGGUGAAGUGUGCAAGGAGGUUCGCGUGAGGCCAGAGAGCUCAGAGGUUGAAGUGGAUCUGGAGAUCGAUACAGAGAGUGACAACUACGACCCGGAGGUUUCUGCAUCUUUGGGGCUGACAGAGCAGACGCUGUGUUCAUCGGAGGCAGCAGCUGAUGUGGCCGGUUAUGCCGCCGGGGUUCUUCGAGGUGGCUUGGUUCAUCUGAAUCAUCUUGAUGCAGUUCUGCAGCUGCGACCAUCAAUGGCGCAUCUCAUUUCCGGUGCAUCACGUACCACGAGGCAGCCUUUACAAGAGGUAGAAACAAAUGGACUGGCGGUUCCAUCAGUUAAGGGAGAUGAUUCAGAAUCUGAUCGAUGGAUUUCUCUCACUUACGAACCAGCUGGGAGUGAUGUUGCAAGCAGGUACUAUGCUGAGAUGAUGGCAAUCGAGGGCAGGCCCAUGGAUUUCACAAUGAGCACAAAAUAUUAUGCAAUGUCAUUGUGUCCUGGAGGGCCGACAGGCAGCAAGCAUAUUAACAGAUGCGAGGUGUUACGGGAGAUGCGUUCACUGCCACUGGAAGUGCGCUUCAAGAAAUGGUUUACUGAGGUGUCACAGGUGAAUCGGUUUGAUGCUCUGAUGCAUCUUGCUCCAGACUGUUCGGAGGAAGACCUUCUGAAAAUUCUUCCAGUGUACGCAGAUUUGGUGCGUGGUUUAUGGGUCUGCAAAAGCUCUUUGCUGUAUGAUGAUGGGCUUGCUUCCAAAAGGGAUAAAGUUCUGCUCGGAUUUACAAAAGGGGAGUCCAUAUCAGUGAAAUAUCUAGAGAGACUGAUUAGAGAUGAGCAAACGAGGAACAUGAUAUUGAACCCACUGGGUAAAAGAAGGGAGAAGCUUCAAGAUUACAAGUUUAUUGUACCAGCAGAUUCAUCAUUCAUAAGACGUUAUUCCCAUAUAGUCAAGGAGCAGGAAAAUGCUUGGUCAGUCCGCCUAAGAGCCUGA